rfam:Ciona savignyi cont_48604, whole genome shotgun sequence.
GUCGUCGUGGCCGAGUGGUUAAGGCGACAGACUAGAAAUCUGUUGGGCUCUGCCCGCACAGGUUCGACUCCUGUCGGCGACG